rnacentral:rRNA from 1 species
CCUACGGGGUGCAGCAGUGAGGAAUAUUGGUCAAUGGACGAGAGUCUGAACCAGCCAAGUAGCGUGAAGGAUGAAUGCUCUAUGGGUUGUAAACUUCUUUUAUAUGGGAAUAAAAUGUUCCACGUGUGGGAUUUUGUAUGUACCAUAUGAAUAAGGAUCGGCUAACUCCGUGCCAGCAGCCGCGGUAAUACGGAGGAUCCGAGCGUUAUCCGGAUUUAUUGGGUUUAAAGGGAGCGUAGGUGGAUUGUUAAGUCAGUGGUGAAAGUUUGCGGCUCAACCGUAAAAUUGCAGUUGAAACUGGCAGUCUUGAGUACAGUAGAGGUAGGCGGAAUUCGUGGUGUAGCGGUGAAAUGCUUAGAUAUCACGAAGAACUCCGAGUGCGAAGGCAGCUCGCUAAGCUGCGACUGACACUGAUGCUCGAAAGUGUGGGGAUCAAACAGGAUUAGAUACCCGUGUAGUC